GUCGAUUUCACGAAACUUUGACCACAAAUGUUCCGAACUUCGUUGUGAAGUUCGCAAGUUCGUUGCGAAGUUCAAAAGUUCAUAAUGAGAUUCACAAACCAAUUUGUAAAGGUCGCAUUUGAUUGGCUUAUUUUACUUCAGGGACCAAUCAGGGACUUUGUUUACAAAUUGGCUUGUGAAUUCCAAAAUGAACUUGCGAACUUCGCAACGAAGUUCGGAACAUUUGUGGUCAACGUUUCGUGAAAUCGACUGUAAGGUAAAGUUUU